CCAGACUCCUACGGGAGGCAGCAGUGAGGAAUAUUGGUCAAUGGGCUUACGCCUGAACCAGCCAAGUCGCGUGAGGGAAGACUGCCCUAUGGGUUGUAAACCUCUUUUGUCAGGGAGCAAUUGGCGCUACGUGUAGCUUUAUCGAGAGUACCCGAAGAAAAAGCAUCGGCUAACUCCGUGCCAGCAGCCGCGGUAAUACGGAGGAUGCGAGCGUUAUCCGGAUUUAUUGGGUUUAAAGGGUGCGCAGGCGGAAGAUCAAGUCAGGGGUAAAAUGGGGAGGCCCACCCUCUUCGAGCCGUUGAAACUGGUUUUCUUGAGUGAGCGAGAAGUAUGCGGAAUGCGUGGUGUAGCGGUGAAAUGCAUAGAUAUCACGCAGAACUCCGAUUGCGAAGGCAGCAUACCGGCGCUCAACUGACGCUCAUGCACGAAAGUGUGGGUAUCGAACAGGAUUAGAUACCCUUGUACA
rnacentral:rRNA from 1 species